AAUUGCGAACCGUGUCUCGGGAGCGUUAGAGAUGGAGACUAACGUCUUCCAAGGGAGAUUGCGUCUCCACUUUCACCCUGGUACUGAGAGGUUGAGCACAAAAUUGGAACGCAGUCGCGGGGUAUAUCCCCCUGAAAACCGUACGUUGCCAAAUAAUGAUUUCUUUGGAUUAGAGAACUACAACUCCCCUGGGUCCUGAGCCGGUAUUUCCCUUUUGCGGCUGCACCGUAGUUAAAAACAAAGCUAAGUGUUCUGGGACGUAUAGUUCUAGCGUUCCUUGGGUCCCGCUGGCGAGCGUGGGCUUUCUGCAGCUCGCAACCGGCCUCGUGCUUUGCGGACGGUUCACUGCGCUUGGAAAGGGAUUGGCCUGGGGUACAUCAUCUAAAGAUCCUAGGAUUGCUGCAGGUCAGCAGUCUCCACUGGAAAAAAAGAUCUUGCAUGUAUUUCAAGUCCUCUGAUGAAUCAUGUGAUCUACUAGACCCUGAAGAUACAGUGAAGAGCAAAAGAACACGGAUGAAAUGAGAAACAAAAACGAUGGAGAAAACCAAAAAAGGGGACACAUGGGAUCCAGGCAAUAGGAGAGCCAGCAUAAGAGAGAGGCAGAGGGAUGCCCAGGAUGAGGUGAAGACGAUCUUGGAAAUCAGCCCAGAUGUGCAUGCACCAGUCCACGUGUGGCAGGACCAAGGGAAGUGUCUUCACAAAGAUGAGGGGUACACUCCUUUGGAAACCAGAACCUCGUAUCCUGCACAGCCCAGUGUUGGGAGAUAAAAUAUGCGAAAUACCCCAUUGAGUGAAUCUAAGAGAUUGGACAUGGAGCCAAACCUGCUUCCGCCUUUUGAUUUCUGGACACACAUGUUCUUCCUAUUGAGAACACAGAACUCUAGAGACGUCUCUGAUUCAAACAAUGCACUGUGUCCUGAAAGAUGGCACCCACCCCUCAGAGUGCUUCCUCCAGGCUGGCACUGAGUUGUGCCUGUAGAAGACCUGUCCAGCCUUCCUUGUGGCUGGCAGCUCCUGGGUAGUGCAGAUGGUGAUAGGAUUAGUGGAACCCACAGCCGUGGAAACACUGAAACUUUCCCUGCAAAGUGGGUCCUUCAGGCAGAUAAUGGGCUAGGAGCACUGCCUAGCCUGCAGACCAGGAAUGUCAACAGCACCCAGAGAGUGGUGCUGGCUGUGUCUGAGAGCAGGACAGGAAAACCCACCCAUAGAAUCGGUACCUAACCCUGUGAAGAUGAAACUCUGGCCCUUCCAGGUUGGAAGUAGCUAAAUGUAGUCAACUUGUUACUUAGUGGGUAGUCAUGUAAAGAAAUAGUGCCCCACUAGGGCACAUCAUGGGCCUCAAUUGCUGAUGAGUUGGACAUUCAGAGGUGGCAGCAGCUGGAUCUGCCUUGGUGUGGGGAAGUCAGUGCUGCUGGCCCCUUACGGAGCCUCAUGCCUGCCACUGUGGUUGCUCCAUUCAUGCACUCAUCCUACCAGGCCUGGGCUGACCCAUGGUGAAAGCUGGCUAACUGCCAUUUGUCUGUUUGGUAGUUCAGUGCCACUUCAGACUUGGGUGUUUUCUGUGGGUGUCAGCAAGGGAUUCAAGCUCAACCCAGGUGGACUGUUUUCACCUGAUGAUGAAUGCUGUUGGGCCUGUACCAUCUAUGACUUUGUGGGUCACACAGGCACUUGGAACCCCGUAGUUGCUUGGUAUCCCGUGGUCAAACAUUCUAUUGAAUCAGGACAAGGAACACUAAAAGUUGCUUCUAACAGGGGGCAUGUGUCUCUGCUGUGGAUGACAUGAUCUUACUCCAGAAUCCCAGGCCCUCCACUGUGACUCUCCCACUGGUGCUUGGUUCAGCUCCAUCCUGUGUCUUUCCCCACCACUGGCACCACCAGCCCCAGGGGUCUGAGGGAUGGUGGCUGCUUGUACCAUGGCCUGGAUCUGCUGCAGGGUCCUUUCCUGUGUAGGCCCCACUUGAAGCUGGCAUCCUCCUAUGUCACCUAGACUGUGGGCCAAAGCAAAAUGUCUAGAUGUGGAAUGUGGUGUUGUUAUAAUUCAAAGAGGCUCACCAAGCAGUGUGCUUCCUUGCUUCUGGUGAGGAUGCAAGAUGCAACAGUUUUUCUUUUACCUUGGAGGGGACACACCUGCAUUCCCCUAAACACUUGGCACUUGUUCACCCAUAAAACUUCACUUCAGUGCCCACCUUUGAAGCUGUAUAAGGUUUAUCUUCACCUUGUGGGGUGCGUGUGUUUUGCAAAGGACUACAGUGCACUUUCUUCCUGCUGCUCAUCUACUCCAGUCAACAUGAAGUUGUCAAUGAAAUGUGCUGAUUUAAUAUCCUAAAGGAUAUGCAGUAUGUCCAGUACAGUCUUAAGCCUAUACUAUAGAGGGCACAGGUGUUACAAUAGCCCUGAGGCAAACAAUAAAUAAAUGUGUCGUUGAUUCCA
ensembl:lncRNA POLR1HASP POLR1H antisense, pseudogene